rnacentral:lncRNA from 1 species
UUAGGUCGUGUCUGGCACCACAAAUUCUUAACCUCCCCGCUAAACAUCCCUCAGAAAUACUCCCGACUAUUUCUCUUCCCCAAAUCGCGAGAUGGGAUCUGAGCUCUCUCGUUCUGGUUCCUCCAUCCUCACGGCGUCAUGACGGCAUCUCAGGUUAUUCCUCUCCCAAAUCUCCUCCAGAUGUGUAGCACAGCGCAGCGCGCGUGAAAUCCUUCCCUUCAUAGGUGUCCUUGCUGGCGACACAUGACGUGCUCUUGGAGGAAGAAGAGGUGGAGACCGGGAGGGGGCUGGGCGGGAGAUGAGGGGGAUGCGCGCGGGGCUAAAGAAAUUGGUGGUAUUGGCGGCGGUCAGGAGGAGGCGGAGUCGUAGGCGGUAGGGGUGGGGGCGGCCACAGAGAUACGAGGAGGGGCAGCAGGGGUGGUGGACGGCAUGGCCAUGGCAGCUCCUCUUUUCCAUCGUAGAAAUACCAUGCCGACGGCCGCUGUGCAGCACUCCUCAUUCUGGCCGAUUCGGGAGACAGUCGACCUGCUGCCGUCGAUGCCGUCCACAGCCUCAGCCACGGCGACCACAAUCAUGGCAGUCGCGACCAUAAUCAGGACUCCUAUAUUUUUGUAUUUUGAAGUGUCCCACGUUUUGUGUAAAUAGUCCCAAGUUUUCUUUUUCACUGAUGGCCGCUGACCCUCGUCUUGCUCCCCGACGGCGGACACAGAUGCACACGAACUGGUUCAGUUUCUAUCAGGCACACACACAGCAGAGGAAAAAGAGCAGCUUACCAAUGCAGUUUAGGUGAAAGAGAUAGACAGACAGGUUUAGGCAACGAAUGCCUUUUUUCCCUUUCUUUUUUCCUUCCAACUGCAACGAAUACAACGACAUUAAGUUUAGCAGCUGCUUAACACUCUUAUUUAUACAAGGUUAUCUGACACUAUUAGGAACCGACUUAUGCAACAACACAUGCAGACAAACACUGAACCUAGAUUAGCCAACUUGAACACGCACACCUAUAGUCAAACUAGCGGCUAGUUGCAAGCCUACCUGUCCACAAUUAUACAAGUGCACUCACAUUGCAGUAAUAAUUGUUUGUUUGUAAUCAAGUUAAAGCUAGCAUUGACUAUGUAAAAUAUUACCAAGUUAAUACUAGAACCACAGUCCAAAGUUCUUAAAAAUGUAUGUGCCUAUACUGAAGCAUACUGCCACAUUCAGCUUAUUUACAUUCAGGCUAGAUUACUGCAUGUGUAUGUAUUGGGAGUAACCUUGUCGGGAUGGGCUCUAAUUGGUGUCAUGUGUAUGCUUCACAGCUUUAGUAUAGGCACAUACAUAUAAAGACUUGAUUACAGAUAGCCUAGCUUUUAAUUUCUAAAUCAAAGUUAUAGACGUAUGGUAUGCUCAAGGAAUUAUGUUCUCCAUGCUAUAGCACAAUUUGAUUUCAUUUAAUCGUUUAAGCAUAGCUUCUUUUUGCUUACAACAGCUUCAAUAUAGACUUGAGUAUAUAUUUUUACGGUCAUUUUUUUAUGCCUGCUUUAAGUAUUGUGUUUCCUUUAAAAUUGGCUCAAAUUAUGAUAUUACAUACAGAAGGGCACAAUGAUGAAUUCAAGAUCCUGCUCGUAGGAGACUGAGUACAAUACAACGACAACUUGGUAAUAAUAUUUAUGUUCACUUUGAUUUAUGCCAUAACACCAAAGGUAAUUAACAUUUGUGAUUAACAUGUGGUUAGGGAUGCGUCAGGUGAUGUGCACAUGCUUCAAAGGAAAGAGAUGAUGCACAUUACUCCUUUCUGCAAGGUACAUAACAUCCUUAAUUAUUAAUCACUUAUGUGAAUGGUGUCCAUUGAUAAUGCUAAGUCCCUUAAUUGUUUUUGUGUUCAGUAAAGAAGGAUUUGUUCUCGUAGCAAGGAUUUUUUUAUAUUUGUGUCCAUGUUUCUCAAUUUACAAUGUAAUACCGAUUACUGCAAUAAUUCUUGAGCCAAUAGAUGAGAACCCAACAGGUGAUUACAGUCAUAUGCUUGUGACCUUGUAAGAUUUAUGUUGCUUACUUUCAUUGCUAAAACUGCACUUCUAUUUACAAGUGCCUAUGAAGAGGAUUGGCAAAUAAAAUAGUAAUCCAAACUUGCAAAAUACUCUUUUACAGAGAUCUAGUCUUAAUAAGACUCUAGGUGCAAGGCCAUCUGCUAUUUCUUCAAAUGCUCUUAUACAAGCUGCAACAAGGAAUUCUAGAAUGUUUAAAGCAAUGGUAAGUCAGUACCUUGCUUUCUCUUCAUGUUCACCUGAAUUUUGUACGUCAUUGGCCUUCAUAAUUAGCUACUUGUUUCUUAUGUUUGACCACGUGUUGUUGUUGCAUCUAGUCCCAACUAAAAAUAAAUCUGAAUAUGUGCUAGCUAAGGACAUGAACUUAACUGAAACUAAACAUCGAUAUAGAACUUAAGUCAAUAGUGGAAGAUUUUAGUACAUGUACUUGUGCUUAUGCUAUAGACAUUUACACUUGUAAAAUUGUUCUGACCCCUCAGUUACAUGCUUGCUAACACAGUAUUACCCCAGUUAGCUUGGUGACAAUUCUUUUCAACAAUGGGGCUGGAAUAAUGUUAUGGUGUAUGUUAUGUUGGACUCAUUAACUAGAACUAUUUUUUAUUUCUUGAUUGCAGGAUCCAAAGAACUAGUUGGACUGGAAUCUAAAUCACGGACAUUUUAGUCUCCCCACUUAAUAGGAUGGCUAAAUUACAUUUGAGUUUAUUUGAAAGAUAUUUCCUAUGAUAAUUAUGAAUUUUAUGAAUCUACAUAUUAUACAUAUGGUUUUGAAUAUUGUAAUUGAAUGCGUGUAUUUUUUUUACGGAUGCAACAUGCUACUACCACAACCCAGUUUUGGUUGCCACAUAUUAGCACCAUGAAAGAUAUAGUGUUGCGUGAAAUCUCAGUCGCUAUGCCUACCUGUUUUGCUGCACUAGGAUGUUGCAACAGAGCACUUUAUAUUGUCGCAAUAGCUUAGCACCACAAUUUUUUUCAUGAUGUGAUAACUAGU